UCGAUCGGAUCCGAUACGCUGUCAGAAACGACCAUAAAGUGUGUGAGGGCGGCUAGCCACGACAAGCCUUUCCAAUGUCCCUGCCCCUGUCGUAAUUACAUCACAAGUUGGCGUGCCGAACCUGAUGUAUGAUGGAUAGAUCCGCAUACCAGUCUGCCCAGUGGAGUGUACCAACUGGUAGGCUUUUUCUAGCCAUUAUUCACCUAUGUUGACGUCCCACCUAAGGAGUCACUAUGUCACAGGGCAGGGACGAUGUUGAAAUGCCUUGUAGUGAGUAAUCAGUGGUGGUGUUAAACAAUAGUUUGAUAAGAAACUAUUCAUAAUAUUAAUUUAUAAAGUAGGCAGAGGUUUUUAAAAUAGCGGUAACACCUUUUAGACGAGAAAGUUAGAACAAACUGGAAUCUGAAACCCUUUGUUUUUAAUGAGGUGACUAUUGAAUUUGUUCCACUGUCCGAGUAGUGUAGAAAGAGAGGCAAUUGCCUUCUACUUUAUAAUUAAAUAAGCCUUAAGACCCUCUUAAACAUACAGCAAGCCUGCAGUCUCUGAUCCUGCAUUUAAGAAAGAGAAAAAAUAAGACGACGAAGAAGAAGAAGAAGAAGAAGAAGAAGAAGAAAGGAAAAUCGAUGAGACUCCUUUUGUUCACAACGCCGGGCCUCUUGGUAAAUAAACAGCUCAGCCCUAACCCGGAUCAGAUCGGGGGGGGUUGGGGGGAAGGGAGCGAGUUGGAAAGAUUAGUGGCUUUUUGACCGGCCUCGGUCUGGUCACUCCCAGCUAAAUCCACCUCAUUUAGAGCGUGUCAGGACGGGCUCCGGGACCAAGGACCCCAGAUUAGAGAUGAGAGUCCCUUUCAACAGAGCCUCACGGUAAAAGUAGAACUGCCAACUGCGAGCCGAGGGCGGAACACAGGGGGGCGCGGGAUUGGCUCAUCCCGAUCCUGACUGCGCUAGUCCCGACCCUGACUCUGAGCUAUCGCGUUUCGUUGAGGAACAAGAAAAAAAAGCACAACAAGCAUGGCAUGCUUUGUAGGUAAUCAUAUCAAGUCUGAGUGUGUUCUGGGAAUUAGUCUGGAGUUAAUGGCCAUCGUACAGGGGGUUAGAUACUCUCUUUGACAUUAAGUAAGUGCAUUCAAGCGCCUUUUUUUAUUCCACAUUUUAUUCCUUCCAGCACAAAGACUGAGCAUUAGCUUUGCCCUGGUGUAUGACUGAGGUGCCCCAAAAUGUACAAAUAUGUAAUGCCCUCAGUUGAACAAUUCCUCUUAUCUUCUACCCUCUCCCUGACAUCUGCUGCUGUAUUGGGAUUUACAUAACUGCACAUGACCUUAAAUGCAUAAUUUACUAGCUACAGUACAGUUUUAAAAGCAUGCUCUCCAGCAGCAGCUUUCUGGUGUUGCACAAUUUAGUGUGUGUGUGUGUGUGUGUGUGUGUGUGUGUGUGUGUGUGUGUGUGUGUGUGUGUGUGUGUGUGUGUGUGUGUGUGUGUGUGUGUGUGUGUGUGUGUGUGUGUGUGUGUGUGUGUGUGUGUGUGUGUGUG